GCCCUACGGGAGGCAGCAGUGGGGAAUAUUGCACAAUGGGCGGAAGCCUGAUGCAGCGACGCCGCGUGGGGGAUGACGGCCUUCGGGUUGUAAACCCCUUUCGCCCGGGACGAAGCGAGAGUGACGGUACCGGGAGAAGAAGCACCGGCCAACUACGUGCCAGCAGCCGCGGUAAU
rnacentral:rRNA from 1 species